rnacentral:rRNA from 1 species
GACGAACGCUGGCGGCGUGCUUAACACAUGCAAGUCGAACGGAAAGGCCCUGCUUGCAGGGUACUCGAGUGGCGAACGGGUGAGUAACACGUGGGUGAUCUGCCCUGCACUUCGGGAUAAGCUUGGGAAACUGGGUCUAAUACCGGAUAGGAGCCAUCUUUAGUGUGGUGGUUGGAAAGUUUUUUCGGUGUAGGAUGAGCUCGCGGCCUAUCAGCUUGUUGGUGGGGUAAUGGCCUACCAAGGCGGCGACGGGUAGCCGGCCUGAGAGGGUGUACGGCCACAUUGGGACUGAGAUACGGCCCAGACUCCUACGGGAGGCAGCAGUGGGGAAUAUUGCACAAUGGGCGCAAGCCUGAUGCAGCGACGCCGCGUGGGGGAUGAAGGCCUUCGGGUUGUAAACUCCUUUCGCUAGGGACGAAGCUUUGUGUGACGGUACCUAGAUAAGAAGCACCGGCUAACUACGUGCCAGCAGCCGCGGUAAUACGUAGGGUGCGAGCGUUGUCCGGAAUUACUGGGCGUAAAGAGCUCGUAGGUGGUUUGUCGCGUCGUCUGUGAAAUUCUGGGGCUUAACUCCGGGCGUGCAGGCGAUACGGGCAUAACUUGAGUGCUGUAGGGGUAACUGGAAUUCCUGGUGUAGCGGUGAAAUGCGCAGAUAUCAGGAGGACACCGAUGGCGAAGGCAGGUUACUGGGCAGUUACUGACGCUGAGGAGCGAAAG